rnacentral:snoRNA from 16 species
GAUCUCUGAACUUCAGGUAAGUUCUUAUGCUGACAGUAUGAAUCAUUGAUGC